AGCUAAGUUCGGUGUACAUCGCAGUGCAGAAGAAUUACGUGGAGAUUGUUCGAGAUCUUCAGUACUUCCUACUAGACUUGGAGUGAUAGACGUAGAAGUUACAGUUCCAGUAAAGCAAAGUAAAGUCUUGACUAGAAGAUUUUCCAGCAACGUGAAGAGUACGCCUGUUCCAGUACUUAUCUACUCUAUUUGCGAUAGUGUAGAAACAGUUGAUAAUUCUGCAGAGUUCUUUACUCCAGCUAGAGAGAGAUCGGCCGCUAGAAGAUCAUCGAGUCCGAUUGUUAGUGAAGGAACGAUAGGUGCUAACAGUUUUAGGUCACAUGAUGCUGAGGAGCACGACAUUGACACAACAGGAUCGCUUUCUCCUAUAGAUCUAGGGAGACAGAGCCCUCCGAGGGAGGAGCGCAGAUAUAACACUAGGAGACCUGAGGAACGGA